UUUGGUGGCGAUAGCGAAGAGGUCACACCCGUUCCCAUGCCGAACACGGAAGUUAAGCUCUUCAGCGCCGAUGGUAGUCGGGGGUUUCCCCCUGUGAGAGUAGGAC
rnacentral:rRNA from 2 species